UACGGAGGGUGCAAGCGUUAUCCGGAUUCACUGGGUUUAAAGGGUGUGUAGGCGGAUUUUUAAGUCAGUGGUGAAAUCUCCGGGCUCAACCCGGAAACUGCCAUUGAUACUAUUAGUCUUGAAUCUGUUGAGGUGGGCGGAAUACAUCAUGUAGCGGUGAAAUGCUUAGAUAUGAUGUAGAACACCGAUUGCGAAGGCAGCUCACUAAGCAGACAUUGACGCUGGGGCACGAAAGCGUGGGGAUCAAACAGG
rnacentral:rRNA from 1 species